GACGGAGGAGGCAAGCGUUAUCCGGAAUUAUUGGGCGUAAAGGGUACUUAGGCGGCUGGUCAAGUCUGGGGUCAAAGGCCACAGCUCAACUGUGGGAAGGCCCUGGAAACUGACCGGCUAGAGUGAGGUAGGGGUUGCGGGAAUUCCCGGUGUAGCGGUGAAAUGCGUAGAGAUCGGGAAGAACACCUGAGGCGGAAGCGCGCAACUGGGCCUCAACUGACUUUGAGGUACGAAAGCUAGGGGAGCGAAUGGG
rnacentral:rRNA from 1 species